AGGAAAAGAAACUAACCAGGAUUCCCUCAGUAACGGCGAGUGAAGCGGGAAAAGCUCAACAUGAAAACCUGGGAGCCUCGCUCUCCGGAUUGUAUUCUCUAGAGGCGUGUUCAGUGGCCGCUCGCGUAUAAAUCCUUUGGAAAAGGGUGUCAUAGAGGGUGAGAUCCCCGUAUGUGACGCGAUGUGGGCUGCGUUACGACGCGUUUUCGGCGAGUCGGGUUGCUUGAGAUCGCAGCCCUAAUUGGGUGGUAAACUCCAUCUAAAGCUAAAUACUGACAAGAGACCGAUAGCAAACAAGUACUGUGAAGGAAAGAUG
rnacentral:rRNA from 16 species